rnacentral:sRNA from 1 species
GUGGCCUCAUACAGGAGAGUAGGUGACCUGGCUAAGGCCAGCACACAGGACAAGAUUAAGCAUCCAGGGACCCGGGGUCACAGCCCUCACUCCAUUGCAGGGGUGGGGAUGACAGAGGCCAGAGGGGAUCAGACAGGGCAGCUGUUGAUGGUUCUGAGAUGCAGUUUCUGUCUGAGGGGCCUCCUCCCACUCCUGGCCUGUGCAGAGGGGUGGGUGUGUGGAGGGAAGGUGGGUCUGCCCUGGUCGAACAGCAGAGGCAUUGCCUGUUAGUCUCAUUCCAUUCCGAGUGCCCCCAGGGAGAGUCAGCCACCGUAUGUAGAGAGGCAAGGCCAGAAGGCAGGGGGGGCCUCCCCUCUGGUGACCAGCAGGGCCUGUGGUACAAGCAGUGCCGGCUGCUGCCCUCUCUGGCCUUUGUCUCCUUCCAGCCUCUCUGCUAUUAGCAGAGGAGCAGAACACUUGACAGGUGGACACAGGCCACCCCCAACCCCUGGCCCUGGAGGAGGCUCCACAGUGGCCUCCUAGAGCCAGGAGACUGGACUGAGCUGAAUCUGCUGCUCCCGACAGGACCUCACAGGGGGCGCCUUUGAGGACAACCUGAGGUCACUGCACUUGCAGGAGGGCCAGGACUUCCUUCACUUCAGCUGACGGACCAACCCAUGGCAGCUGCUCCCAGUGCAUCCCAGGCCAGCAGGAGCUUUGUGAGCUGCAGGCAUGGCUAUGGUGCGCCUGUUCCACACCCAGCAGGCGUGACCAGAGUCUCGUGUGUGCUGACCACAGGAGCCAAGCCUUUUCCACUGUGUGGACUCAUGUGGCCGACUCAUGUGGCCAAGGCUAGGCUUGGUCACCCAGGACCCUCACCACAUGACCCCAGCCAAUCGAGGGGACAGUUCAAGGAGGAGGAGACCCCUAUUACACAGGUUGGAAUAAAAUGUUUACAUCUCGU